rnacentral:rRNA from 1 species
UACGUAGGGGGCAAGCGUUGUCCGGAAUUAUUGGGCGUAAAGAGCGUGUAGGCGGUCCGGUAAGUCAGCUGUGAAAGUCAAGGGCUCAACCCUUGAAUGCCGGUUGAUACUGUCGGGCUAGAGUCCGGAAGAGGCGAGUGGAAUUCCCGGUGUAGCGGUGAAAUGCGCAGAUAUCGGGAGGAACACCGAUGGCGAAGGCAGCUUGCUGGGACGGUACUGACGCUGAGACGCGAAAGCGUGGGGAGCAAACAGG